rnacentral:rRNA from 1 species
ACUCAAAGGAAUAGACGGGGGCCCGCACAAGCAGUGGAGUAUGUGGUUUAAUUCGAAGCAACGCGAAGAACCUUACCAGGGCUUGACAUGGAGACGACCGCUGUAGAGAUACAGCUUCCCUUCGGGGCGUCUCACACAGGUGGUGCAUGGUUGUCGUCAGCUCGUGUCGUGAGAUGUUGGGUUAAGUCCCGCAACGAGCGCAACCCUUAUGGUUAGUUGAUACGCAAGAUCACUCUAGCCAGACUGCCGUUGACAAAACGGAGGAAGGUGGGGACGACGUCAAAUCAUCAUGCCCCUUAUGUCCUGGGCUACACACGUACUACAAUGGCGGUCAUACAGAGGGAGGCAAAGCAGUGAUGUGGAGCAAACCCCUAAAAGCCGCCUCAGUUCAGAUCGCAGGCUGCAACCCGCCUGCGUGAAGUCGGAAUUGCUAGUAAUCGCGGAUCAGCAUGCCGCGGUGAAUACGUUCCCGGGCCUUGUACACACCGCCCGU